AACUCACCUAAAAGCACAUCCAUCUCUAACUUCCAUGUCUCAGUCUCAUUCAAUUGCUUCUGGAGCUCAGAGUGCAAUGCUUCCUCUUGCAUCUUUAGCUUUUCAAGCUCACCACGCGAUUGCUGAAGCCCUUCCUGCAAUAGCAGACUGGCCUCAAAGAGGUGCAUGUUUUCUGUGCGCAGUUGGUUUCUGUCAGCACACAACUUUAGGAUCUUCUUUUCUUGGUCCUCCAUAAUUAUUUUACUCCCAAUAAGUUCUCUGCUCAAGUUCUUCAAAAUUUGAUGCAAUACAGCUUUCUCAGUUUCAGUAAGA
rnacentral:misc_RNA from 1 species